rnacentral:rRNA from 1 species
ACGAACGCUGGCGGCGUGCCUAAUACAUGCAAGUCGAGCGGAAUGAUGAAGAAGCUUGCUUCUUCUGAUUUUAGCGGCGGACGGGUGAGUAACACGUGGGCAACCUACCUUGUAGAUUGGGAUAACUCCGGGAAACCGGGGCUAAUACCGAAUAAUCCAUUUUGCUUCAUGGCGAGAUGUUAAAAGGCGGCUUCGGCUGUCACUACGAGAUGGGCCCGCGGCGCAUUAGCUAGUUGGCAGGGUAAUGGCCUACCAAGGCGACGAUGCGUAGCCGACCUGAGAGGGUGAUCGGCCACACUGGGACUGAGACACGGCCCAGACUCCUACGGGAGGCAGCAGUAGGGAAUCUUCCACAAUGGACGAAAGUCUGAUGGAGCAACGCCGCGUGAGUGAAGAAGGUUUUCGGAUCGUAAAACUCUGUUGUAAGGGAAGAACACGUACGAGAGUAACUGCUCGUACCUUGACGGUACCUUAUUAGAAAGCCGCGGCUAACUACGUG